CUGGUCUGAGAGGAUGAUCAGCCACACUGGAACUGAGACACGGUCCAGACUCCUACGGGAGGCAGCAGUGGGGAAUCUUGCGCAAUGGGCGAAAGCCUGACGCAGCGACGCCGCGUGAGUGAUGAAGGCCUUCGGGUUGUAAAGCUCUGUGGGGAGAGAAGAAUAAGUGCAGGCUAACACCCUGCAUGAUGACGGUAUCUCCUUAGCAAGCACCGGCUAACUCUGUGCCAGCAGCCGCGGUAAGACAGAGGGUGCAAACGUUGUUCGGAAUUACUGGGCGUAAAGCGAGUGUAGGCGGUUCGAUAAGUCGGAUGUGAAAGCCCCGGGCGGAAGUGCGUCGAGCUAGAGUAUCGGAGAGGUUUGGUGGAAUUCUCGGUGUAAAGGUGAAAUUCGUA
rnacentral:rRNA from 1 species